rnacentral:rRNA from 1 species
UGGGGAAUAUUGCGCAAUGGGGGAAACCCUGACGCAGCAACGCCGCGUGAAGGAUGAAGGUUUUCGGAUCGUAAACUUCUUUGAUGAGGGACGAACAAAAUGACGGUACCUCAAAAACAAGCCACGGCUAACUACGUGCCAGCAGCCGCGGUAAUACGUAGGUGGCGAGCGUUGUCCGGAAUUACUGGGUGUAAAGGGCGUGUAGGCGGGGAUGUAAGUCAGAUGUGAAAUUCCAUGGCUCAACUGUGGGGCUGCAUCUGAAACUAUGUCUCUUGCGUGCCGGAGAGGGAAGCGGAAUUCCUAGUGUAGCGGUGAAAUGCGUAGAUAUUAGGAGGAACACCAGUGGCGAAGGCGGCUUUCUGGACGGUAACUGACGCUGAGGCGCGAAAGCGUGGGGAGCAAACA